rnacentral:lncRNA from 1 species
AUGGGCAAUCGGGUAUCAAAGUCCAUCGAUAUGAAAUCUUGAUCGAAGAGUCCCAAACCAAUGGGACUCUUGACCCCGGUACCCAAAAUGUGUGAGACUCAUGAUCAGAGAAUCCUGAUUCUCGAUCAUAGAAUCUCAGACACGUAGGACUUAUAGUCCAUGAGCAUUAGGACUCUUCAUCAGCCAUCAGAUCAUAUAGGAACCUCUAAUGUGUGUGACCCCAC